CCUACGGGUGGCAGCAGUGAGGAAUAUUGGUCAAUGGACGAGAGGCUGAACCAGCCAAGUAGCGUGAAGGAUGACUGCCCUAUGGGUUGUAAACUUCUUUUAUCUAGGGAUAAAACGUUCCACGUGUGGGUUUUUGUAGGUACCAUAUGAAUAAGCAUCGGCUAACUCCGUGCCAGCAGCCGCGGUAAUACGGAGGAUACGAUCGUUAUCCGGAUUUAUUGGGUUUAAAGGGAGCGUAGGUGGAUUGUUAAGUCAGUUGUGAAAGUUUGCGGCUCAACCGUAAAAUAGCAGUUGAAACUGGCAGUCUUGAGAAGACUAGAGGUAGGCGGAGUGCGUGGUGUAGCGGUGAAAUGCUUAGAUAUCACGAAGAACUCCGAUUGCGAAGGCAGUAUACUGGCCGGCAACUGACACUGAGGCACGAAAGUGUGGGUAUCAAACAGGAUUAGAUACCCUGGUAGUC
rnacentral:rRNA from 1 species